rnacentral:rRNA from 1 species
CCUACGGGUGGCAGCAGUGGGGAAUAUUGCACAAUGGGGGAAACCCUGAUGCAGCGACGCCGCGUGAGUGAAGAAGUAUUUCGGUACGUAAAGCUCUAUCAGCAGGGAACAAAAUGACGGUCCCUUACUAAGAAGCCCCUGCUAACUACGUGCCAGCAGCCGCGGUAAUACGUAGGGGGCACGCGUUUUCGGUAUUUACUGGGUGUAAGGGGAGUGUUGACGGCAGCGCAAGUCUGAAGUGAAGUCCCAUGGCAUAACCAUGGAGCUGCUUUGGAAACUGUGCAGCUGGAGGCCAGAGCGGUAAGAGGAAUUGCUGGUGUAGCGGUGAAAUGCGUAGAUAUUAGGAGGAACACCAGUGGCGAAGGCGGCUUACUGAACUGUAAUUGACGUUGAGGCACGAAAGCGUGGGGAGCAAACAGGAUUAGAUACCCCAGUAGUC